rnacentral:rRNA from 1 species
GGAAUUCUGAAGAGAGUUGGGAGUGCUCGAAAGAGAACCUGCACACAGGUGCUGCAUGGCUGUCGUCAGCUCGUGUCGUGAGAUGUUCGGGUUAAGUCCCGCAACGAGCGCAACCCUUGCCAUUAGUUGCUACGAAAGGGCACUCUAAUGGGACUGCCGGUGACAAACCGGAGGAAGUGGGGAUGACGUCAAGUCCUCAUGGCCCUUAUAGGUGGGGCUACACACGUCAUACAAUGGCUGGUACAAAGGGUUGCCAACCCGCGAGGGGGAGCUAAUCCCAUAAAGCCAGUCGUAGUCCGGAUCGUAGUCUGCAACUCGACUACGUGAAGUCGGAAUCGCUAGUAAUCGUGGAUCAGAAUGUCACGGUGAAUACGUUCCCGGGUCUU